CAUUAACUAGGGGAAGAGGAGAUUAAUAUCUAAUCUUAAGUAAAGGUAACAAGGACGUUGGGGAUCACGUAAGGGCCAGGCAGCCUAACUACAGAGCCAUGGCAAAGUGCAGUCAGGUGAAUGAACCUAUAUUAAGUACACACGGCCAAGGGUACACUUAGAAAAGUACAUGAAAGUAGGUAACAAGUUAAGUACAUAUGGACUGGGUGCACUUAGAAAGAAACACACGUGAAAGGAAAAUGGGACAAACACCAAGAGUAAGCAUGCGAUGCAUGCAUUAUUUUUAUAUCCACGUGAGGAAAGUUUGGCCACCAUUAUGUUAGAAAUAAGAGCAGAUAUGGGCGUUAUCCUCAGAUAUGGGCGUUAUCCAUAGGAUUGAAAGAUAAUGGUGGCAGAAAGCACAAAGGGAUUUUCUUCAUUUACAUAAAGCAUGGACCUAUGUAUUGUAUGUGCAUAAAAGCAGAGCUGGGGCCUGAGAAAGUCAGUUGUUCCGCGGACCAGCUCGGCUUUGAUACUUUGUAUUAAAGUCUAUAUUGAAUUCACAAGUUCUUGUAAGAGUGUUACUUUUAAGACAAUUUUCCACGACACUCCCUAAUCUACAAUUCAACAGACUAGGGAUAAACAUCUCAUCUGGUUCACUUCGCCUGAACUCUGCAAACGACCGGCCGUAAACGAGUGUCUACAAUGAAUCAGGAAACACUCUCCCUCCAACCUUCCUCCCCCCUACCCCUCCUGGAGUCCCCGUGUCAUGCCUCUCCCGGUAGCCCCUUACUGCUGGGUCUGAAGAGGCUGUCUGUGCGGCUGGUCGACUGCAGGAAAACACCGGCGCUAAGUGGGUUUAUGCUCUGACAUACAUUUAUUUUGGGACACUCCCUGAAUGUCAUUAAUUACCACUAAAUACAAUCUGUUUUAAAGAUGUAGAAUUUAAAAAAUAAAUAAAUAAAUUCACCUUCAUUUAACCUGGUAGGCUAGUUGAGAACAAGUUCUCAUUUACAACUGCGACCUUCGCCAAGAUAAAGCAAAGCAGUGCGACACAAACAGCAACACAGAGUUACACAUGGAAUAAACAAGUGUACAGUCAAUAACACAAUAGAAACGAAGGUCUAUAUAUAGUGUGCAAAUGGCGUGAGGAGGUAAGGCAAUAAAUAGGCCACAGUAGCGAAGUAUUUACAAUUUCGCAAAUUAACACUGGAGUGAUACAGUGGGGGGGGAAAAGUAUUUCAUCCCCUGCUGAUUUUGUACGUUUGCCCACUUACAAAGAAAUGAUCAGUUUAUAAUUUUAAUAGUAGGUUUAUUUGAACAGUGAGAGACAGAAUAACAACAAAAAAAUCCAGAAAAACGCAUGUCAAAAAUGUUAUAAAAUGAUUUG
rnacentral:lncRNA from 8 species